rnacentral:rRNA from 1 species
UGCGAAUGGCUCAUUAAAUCAGCUAUGGUUCCUUGGAUCUUAUAAACUACAUGGAUAACUGUAGUAAUUCUAGAGCUAAUACAUGCAAUUAUGUCCCGCCCCUAACAGGAAAGGAUGCAUUUAUUAGAACAGAACCAAUCUUGUGGGCUUCGGCCUGCUUGUUUGAUCUGUGAUGACUCUGGAUAACUUCAAUGAUCGCAGUCGGUCUUGUAUCGGCGACGGAUCCUUCAAAUGUCUGCCCUAUCAGUUUGUUGGUAGGUGAUCUGCCUACCAUGAUUAUAACGGGUAACGGGGAAUCAGGGUUCGAUUCCGGAGAGGGAGCCUGAGAAACGGCUACCACGUCUAAGGAUGGCAGCAGGCGCGAAAAUUACCCACUUUCAGAACGAGGAGGUAGUGACGAAAAAUAUGGAUACGGGACUCCAUUGAGGCUUCGUAAUCCAAAUGAGUGAAUUGUAAAACCUUUGACGAGGACCAAUUGGAGGGCAAGUCUGGUGCCAGCAGCCGCGGUAACUCCAGCUCCAAUAGCGUAUAUUAAAGUUGUUGCGUUUAAAAAGCUCGUAGUUGGAUCUGGGUUGUGUGGUUACAUACCGGCCUAGUACUUGAUCUAGUAAUGACUAGAGAGAGUGUUCGGGUAGGUGUGGUGAUCGUACAGCUUUUGAGUCGUGUCUGUUAAAAACAGGUGUUGGUGUGCUUAGGGAAUAAAACCCUGUGUAUGCCAGCGUGCUUCCUAGUUCCCUUAACCGGGCGCUUGGGGCAGACGGCAUGUUUACUUUGAAUAAAUUUGAGUGCUCAAAGCAGGCCAAAGUGCCUGGAAAGUUUUGCAUGGAAUAAUGGAAUAGGGCUUCGGUUCUAUUUUGUUGGUUUUUCGAUCCGAAGUAAUGGUUAAGAGGGACAGACGGGGGCAUUUGUAUGGCGGUGUUAGAGGUGAAAUUCUGAGAUCACCGCCAGACAAUCAGCAGCGAAAGCAUUUGCCAAGAAUGUUUUCAUUGAUCAGGAGCGAAAGUUAGAGUUUCGAAGACGAUCAGAUACCGUCGUAGUUCUAACCAUAAACGAUGCCAACUGACGAUCCGCGAUGGUUCUUUUAUUGGCCUCGCGGGCAGUCUCCGGGAAACCCUUAAGUUUUUGGGCUCCGGGGGAAGUAUGGUUGCAAAGCUGAAACUUAAAGGAAUUGACGGAAGGGCACCACCAGGAGUGGAGCCUGCGGCUUAAUUCGACUCAACACGGGAAAACUCACCCGGGCCGGACACUGUAAGGAUUGACAGAUUGAUAGCUCUUUCUUGAUUCGGUGGAUGGUGGUGCAUGGCCGUUCUUAGUUCGUGGAGCGAUUUGUCUGGUUAAUUCCGAUAACGAACGAGACUAUCACCUGCUAAAUAGUUCGUCCGUCCUCUGUGCUCGUGCAGGCAGCGGCUUUCUCAUUCAUUUGGGUGAGGAGGUCGUGUGUCGGCGGGUUCUGUGCGGAUGACAACUUCUUAGAGGGACAAGCGGUCGUUCAAAGCCGUACGAAAUAGAGCAAUAACAGGUCUGUGAUGCCCUUAGAUGUCCGGGGCCGCACGUGCGCUACAAUGACGGUGCCAAUGAGUCUGGAAGCCUGGCCCGAAAGGGUUGGGUAAACUGUUAAUCACCGUCGUGACUGGGAUCGGGGCUUGUAAUUGUUCCCCGUGAACGAGGAAUUCCUAGUAAGCGUAAGUCAUAAGCUUGCGCUGAUUACGUCCCUGCCCUUUGUACACACCGCCCGUCGCUACUACCGAUUGAAUGGUUUAAUAAAGUCGUUGGACUGGCAUCAUUGUAGUGGUUCUUCCACUCGUUUGUU